rnacentral:tRNA from 1 species
GGAGGGGUGGCUGAGUGGCUGAAAGCGUUGGUUUGCUAAAUCAAUAUACACAAGUGUGUAUCACGGGUUCGAAUCCCGUUCCUUCCG